GAAAAACAAUUGAUGUCCAUACAGUGCCUCCCACCUCUGCAUAUGAGACAGAAUUGGAAAGAUGAAAUUCACGUGGUCUGUCUGGAAGUUCUGUGGAUGAUGAAGGCAUUUUUGGUCGUUAACAUCAUAAUUUACUUGAAGGAACAGUCUAUAGCCUCCCCUAUAUGCUUUCUGAGUAUAUCUCUGAUGUGAUGUGAAGGGCAAGUUGCCACUAAUUCAAGCAUAUCUCAUGUAGGGAGAAAUGUCUGCCAUGCUUGUGUCUCCGUAUGUACUUUUUUUUCCCUUUAUUUUGUGAAAAUUCUUCCAAACUUACAUACAACGUUAAUUGGUUAAUUGAAGAUUGCCUAGAUCUUAUCCUUCUUAUCUCGUGCAUUGAAACACUCUUCAGAAUGAAUCUCCAUA
rnacentral:misc_RNA from 1 species